CUACGUGCCAGCAGCCGCGGUAAUACGGAAGGUCCGGGCGUUAUCCGGAUUUAUUGGGUUUAAAGGGAGCGUAGGCUGGAGAUUAAGUGUGUUGUGAAAUGUAGGCGCUCAACGUCUGAUGUGCAGCGCAUACUGGUUCCCUUGAGUACGCGCAACGCCGGCGGAAUUCGUCGUGUAGCGGUGAAAUGCUUAGAUAUGACGAAGAACCCCGAUUGCGAAGGCAGCCGGCGGGAGCGCAACUGACGCUGAAGCUCGAAGGUGCGGGUAUCGAACAGGAUUAGAUACCCUGGUAGUCCGCACGGUAAACGCUGGAUGCCCGCUAUAUGCCCCUUAGGGUAUGUGGCCAAGUGAAAACGUUAAGCAUCCCACCUGGGGAGUACGCCGGCAACGGUGAAACUCAAAGGAAUUGACGGGGGCCCGCACAAGCGGAGGAACAUGUGGUUUAAUUCGAUGAUACGCGAGGAACCUUACCCGGGCUUGA
rnacentral:rRNA from 1 species